rnacentral:tRNA from 1 species
GAAGGUAUAGCUCUGUGGUAGAGUGCGUGCCUAGCAUGCACAAAGUCCUGGAUUCAAUCCCCAGUACUUCUA